AAAGAAUUGCAUUAGAAAAUUAAAAUGUUACAAUAUCGAUGUAAUCUUAUUCUUCAUAUAAACGUAAUUUCAUAUAGCGUAUUUUUGUGUGUUCGUGAUUUUAUAUAUUAACAAUAAUACGAAUAUAACAUGAUUUAUCCUCUGAAGCUCGUAUGUGUGCAAUAUACUCUUUAUACAAGAGUAUAUUGCACAUCAGGUUGGUAACUAGUAAAUCAAUAUUGGCUCGCGGUCUGCGAUGCCGGCGUUACAUGUGUGUGUGUAUAUAUAUAUAUAUUUUAUAGAUAUAUCUAACGUGCAUUCAGCUUUAUUUUCAAUCACGUCUUUCGUGAAGAUACUUUCGUAUAUUUAACAUUUUAUAAUUUGUCAAAACGUUAAGAAAUAUUACUUAUUGUAAAAUAAAAUAUUAAAUCAUACACAUCCAAUUGCCACAAAAAAAAAAAAAAAAAAUUAAAAAAAAGGAAAGAAAAAAGUUAUAAAUGAAAAGUAUAAUGAAUAAUAAGUUAAAAAAAGAAAAAAAUAUAAAGAGCAGCUUUUAGAAUGUAGUCUUAUGUCGUCGGCCAUAUUGUAUAUACGGUUUUUUAAAGAAAAAUUAUUACUUUAAACAGUAUUACGAUAUAUUUAACAUAUAUAUAUUAUAGAGUAUGUUUUCGUGUCACCGAAUUGAACGUGCAAAUACUUAUACGCAUACACACAUGCAUACACAUACACAUAUACAAAAUAGUCUGCGUAUAUAUUAUAUGCCCUCGAGUUCAUUGAUGUGUUGACCGGCCUCGUUCGAGAAAGAGUAAUCAUUACGACACUGACCUUACUCUAUAAUCCAUCGUAUCAUUCUACGCAUAAUUUCAUUUAAUUCCGCAUACGCCGUGUGUGUUUAUCGGUUUAUGUUUCUCAAAAUGUGUCCGAUAAACUUACCAAUAUCGCGGUGGUAGAACGAGUAAAUUCUGUAGUUUUCCAAUAAGCUCGAUGUGGAUGAAACAAUAGCAUCAUAUUCGAGAGAAACGAUCUCGGUUUCAACGCGACAUAGAAUGCAAUAAAUCGAUAAUUACAAAGAGAAUGACGAGAGGAGUAGACAUAUGGAGAAGAACAAGGAAAACAUCAAUAAAAAGAAAAAAAAAAGGAAAGAAAGAAAGAAAGAAAAGAAAAACAAGGAGAGAAAAAAAUUGCAGCUGCAAAAAGCACGAGUAUUAUCAUAUUUGAAAAAAGAACUUAGAAAUAUUCAUUAUUUUUCUCUAACAUUUUUUUCUAAUUUCAAUUAGGAAAUCGAUAUAUAGCUUGUUAUAGCUAGCGUGGGUUACUCUGUAAAUAUGAAAUGUAGUUGUGUCAUAAACUUAAAAAUCAAUUAGAAAUAACUUUGCGUAUUUAAAAUGUAAUUUUUUAAUUUUGUUCACAUAAAAUAUUACAUUAAACAAAA